AACGAACGCUGGCGGCAUGCCUAACACAUGCAAGUCGAACGAGACCUUCGGGUCUAGUGGCGCACGGGUGCGUAACGCGUGGGAACCUGCCCUUAGGUUCGGAAUAACUCCCCGAAAGGGGUGCUAAUACCGGAUAAUGUCUUCGGACCAAAGAUUUAUGGCCUUUGGAUGGGCCCGCGUGGGAUUAGCUAGUUGGUAGGGUAAAAGCCUCCCAAGGCGACGAUCCAUAGCUGGUCUGAGAGGAUGAUCAGCCACACUGGGACUGAGACACGGCCCAGACUCUUACGGGAGGCAGCAGUAGGGAAUAGAGGAAUAGGGGCGAGAGAAUGAGAAAGCAGUGACGCGUGAGUGACGAAGGCCUGAGGGUUGUAAAGCUCUUUUGCCUGGGCGGAUAAUGACAGAACCGGGAGAAUAGGCACCGGCUAACUCCGUG
rnacentral:rRNA from 1 species